GACGAACGCUGGCGGCGUGCUUAACACAUGCAAGCCGAACGGAAAGGCCCUGCUUUUGUGGGGUGCUCGAGUGGCGAACGGGUGAGUAACACGUGAGUAACCUGCCCUUGACUUUGGGAUAACUUCAGGAAACUGGGGCUAAUACCGGAUAGGAGCUCCUGCUGCAUGGUGGGGGUUGGAAAGUUUCGGCGGUUGGGGAUGGACUCGCGGCUUAUCAGCUUGUUGGUGGGGUAGUGGCUUACCAAGGCUUUGACGGGUAGCCGGCCUGGGAGGGUGACCGGCCACAUUGGGACUGAGAUACGGCCCAGACGCCUACGGGAGGCAGCAGUGGGGAACACUGCACAAUGGGCGGAAGCGUGAUGCAGCAACGCCGCGUGCGGGAUGACGGCCUACGGGUGGUAAACCGCUGUCGCCUGUGACGAAGCGGGAGUGACGGUAAUGGGUAAAGAAGCACCGGCUAACUACGUG
rnacentral:rRNA from 1 species